rnacentral:sRNA from 1 species
GCCAAUGGGGUGUCCGCACUGAUUUCAGCAUCAAUAUGGUGACCUGCUGGGAACUGGGGGCCACCAGGUUGCCUAAGGAAGGGUGAACCCGCCCACAUUGGAAACUAAGCAGGUCAAAACUCCCGGGCUGAACAGUAGUGGGAUCGUGCCUGUGA